rnacentral:misc_RNA from 2 species
AACGCACCUUGCGCUCUUUGGUAUUCCGAAGAGCAUGCCUGUUUGAGUGUCAUGAAAAUAUCAACCUUGACUUGGGUUUUGUGCUCUAGUCUCGGCUUGGAAUUGGGUGCUUGCCGCUUUUACGAGCGGCUCACCUUAAAUGUAUUAGCUGGAUCUGUCUUUGAGACUUGGUUUGACUUGGCGUAAUAAGUAUUUCGCUAAGGACAUUCUUCGGAGUGGCCUCGUUUCUAGGACGCUUGUCCGCUUCCCAAUACAAGUUCCACCUCGUGGACAUGACUUUUUAUUAUCUGGCCUCAAAUCAGGUAGGACUACCCGCUGAACUUAA